rnacentral:piRNA from 1 species
UAACAAAGGUAGCACAAAAGGAUGGGA